CGGGGGGCAGCAGUGGGGAAUAUUGGGCAAUGGAGGAAACUCUGACCCAGCGACGCCGCGUGAGGGAUGAAGGCCUUCGGGUUGUAAACCUCUUUCAGCAGGGAAGAAGCGAAAGUGACGGUACCUGCAGAAGAAGCACCGGCUAACUAUGUGCCAGCAGCCGCGGUAAUACAUAGGGUGCAAGCGUUGUCCGGAAUUAUUGGGCGUAAAGAGCUCGUAGGUGGUUAGUUACGUCGGAUGUGAAAAUCUAGGGCUCAACCCUAGACCUGCAUCCGAUACGGGCUAGCUUGAGUUUGGUAGGGGAGACUGGAAUUCCUGGUGUAGCGGUGGAAUGCGCAGAUAUCAGGAGGAACACCAAUGGCGAAGGCAGGUCUCUGGGCCAAUACUGACACUGAGGAGCGAAAGUGUGGGGAGCGAACAGGAUUAGAUACCCGAGU
rnacentral:rRNA from 1 species